rnacentral:misc_RNA from 1 species
GAUGAAGAACGCAGCGAAAUGCGAUAAGUAAUGUGAAUUGCAGAAUUCAGUGAAUCAUCGAAUCUUUGAACGCACAUUGCGCCCCUUGGUAUUCCGAGGGGCAUGCCUGUUCGAGCGUCAUUAUAACCCCUCAAGCUCAGCUUGGUGUUGGGGCCUGCUGCACUGGCAGCCCUUAAAAUCAGUGGCGGCGCCAUCUGGCUCUAAGCGUAGUAAUUCUUCUCGCUAUGGAGUCCUGGUGGAUGCUUGCCGUCAACCCCCAAUUUUUCUAUGGUUGACCUCGGAUCAGGUAGGGAUACCCGCUGAACUUAAGCAUAUCAAUAAGCGGAGGA